AUUUGGAGCUUCAGGGCUUGUUUAAGGUUCAGCUCAGUCUCUGAGGGAGGGAACCCCUCCAGCACCUCCUGAUGCCCUCGCUCCUGCACUGUUUGAGAGACAGAGACCCUGCCCAGGAACACCUGGUUGAUCUGCAGAUGGGACCAGGAAGCCCCAUUUGGUUGAUAUAUCCAAGCAAUUUUAGUCUUCUUGGAAUUUGAAACUACCAAGAUAGUGUGAUUAUUGGAGAUAAGAUUGCUGCCUUUGCUUCCAUGACCUCCCGUGUGAGCUGAAUAUAAAAUCGACUCCAUCAUCUAGAACACCAAGUGAUGACUGCUCAAGACACAGUGGAGCAUCUAUGGGGCUGAUGUCAACAACACCAGGUGGCCUGAAGACCAUUUAACUCCCCCUGUACUCAAGUCUUGUUCUAGA
rnacentral:lncRNA from 1 species